ACAUACGACCAUAGCUUGUAGAAAGCACGGGAUCCCGUCCGCUCUCCCUUAGUUAACCUACAAAGCGCUGGACUAGUAUUAUGGUGGGUGACCACAUGAGAAUCCCCAGUGUUGUAUGUC
rfam:Ceratocystis platani strain CFO contig_00269, whole genome shotgun sequence.